rnacentral:misc_RNA from 1 species
CACAGUUGCAAUUAAUGGCC